rnacentral:rRNA from 1 species
GGUCUGUGAUGCCCUUAGAUGUUCUGGGCCGCACGCGCGCUACACUGAUGAAUUCAACGAGCCCCUCCUGGAUCGAAAGGUUUAGGAAAUCUCUGAAAUUUCAUCGUGAUGGGGAUAGAUUAUUGCAAUUAUUGAUCUUCAACGAGGAAUACCUAGUAAGCGCGAGUCAUCAGCUCGCGUUGAUUACGUCCCUGCCCUUUGUACACACCGCCCGUCGCUCCUACCGAUUGAAUGAUCCGGUGAAGUUUUCGGAUUGCGGCGACGCUGACGGUUCGCCGUUGGUGACGUUGUGAGAAGUUCAUUAAACCUUAUCAUUUAGAGGAAGGAGAAGUCGUAACAAGGUUCCGUUUAUGAUCCUUCUCGCCCCAUUUUGGGUUCGAGUCGCACGGAAGCCUGAGCAUUACGCGUUCUUGCGGUCGCAAGAGUGUCAAAAUGCUAGUGCCGGCAUCUUCGGAUGUUGGUGCGACGUCAUCAAAUUGCGGGGAAGCUCCUAUGUGACACGGGAUACCAAGCACGGCGGCACGCUGUUGUGUGCCGAGUGUGGCCGAGUUAAUGCACUCGGGUACGGUAACAACUCCCUGUCUCGAAAGGACCAACCUGCAGCCAAGCCCUCGACGUCGUCGAGGGUGCUGUUCACAGACUAAAUGAUGACGGGUGGCAGAUGCCUGUGAGGGCGUUUGUUGCUCAAGAUAUAGUCGGGCUCGCUCGAGGGCGAGACGAGAGCUUAUGCCUUCCCGCAUGUGUAUUCACCGUUCCGUAGGUGAACCUGCGGAAGGAUCAUUGACACACCGUCUAGUUCCGACGCAAGUCGGAAUGCUAACCCGCGAACCAAUGAAUUCGUACCUUUGAGGGGCCGCAUCGGAAGGUGCGCGCUAGACCGUGGUGCGCCUCGUGUUCCCUUGCGUAACCGGGGACGCGCGCUUCGGCUCUCGAUCGUAGCAGGGUUGUGACCCCUCGGCAGCUGUCCGGGUUUGCUUCGGCAUUCUCGGCGUCGUCGUGGGGCUGCUACAUCGCCUCCCCUUGGGCUAAAGCUCACCUCGUGUGGCUUUUUGCUGGAGGGCUACCUCGUAAACCAACCAUGCAACCCUUAUUAAAACCUUCGUUCUCUGAGCGAAUAAAAACCGUGGCCUUCUCGGCCCGAUUUUUAAUCAAACUUAAACAACUCUCAACAACGGAUAUCUUGGCUCUCGCAACGAUGAAGAACGCAGCGAAAUGCGAUACGUAGUGUGAAUUGCAGAAUUCCGUGAAUCAUCGAAUGUUUGAACGCAAAUUGCGCCCGAGGUUUCGGCCGAGGGCAUGUCUGCUUGAGCGCCGCUGGACCCCCCUCGCUCCACCUUCCUCUUUCACGAGAGGGAGGCAGCGGACGAUGGUCGCCUCGAUGUACGGAUCUUUCGCGCGCGUGCUCGCACGAGCGCGAUCGAUUCUCGAGCCGACUGGAAUGCAAGGACUUGCCCCCGGUUUGCACAUGGCACCCGGCGUGGACGACGCGUUCCCUUCGUGGAUGCGCCUCUGCUCGGAAAUGCCUGUGCAGCUGGUUCUUCGGAACCGCCGCGUGCUCGUCCCCCGCGUGCCCGAGGGUCGCCGAACCACGGUUCGUGCGCCCUUCGGUGUCACCAUUUUUUUCCCCUUGGCCUCAAGUCAGGCAGGAUUACCCGCUGAAUUUAAGCAUAUUACUAAGCGGAGGAAAAGAAACUAAC